UACGUAGGGGGCUAGCGUUGUCCGGAUUUAUUGGGCGUAAAAGGCUUGUAGGUGGCCACGCCAAGUCGGAUGUGAAAUCUCCCGGCUCAACUGGGAGGGGUCAUUCGAUACUGGCGGGCUCGAGGCCGGUAGGGGGAAGUGGAAUUCCCGGUGUAGUGGUGGAAUGCGUAGAUAUCGGGAGGAACACCAGUGGCGAAGGCGGCUUCCUGGACCGGUUCUGACACUGAGGAGCGAAAGCGUGGGGAGCGAUCCGG
rnacentral:rRNA from 1 species